rnacentral:rRNA from 1 species
AGAUUGAACGCUGGCGGCAUGCCUAACACAUGCAGGUCGAACGGGAGUAGCAAUACUCUAGUGGCGGACGGGUGAGGAAUACGUAGGAAUUUGCCCUUAAGUGGGGGAUAACCCGGGGAAACCCGGAUUAAUACCGCAUGACCUCGAAAGAGCAAAGUGGGGGAUCGCAAGACCUCACGCUUUUGGAGAAGCCUACGUCGGAUUAGCUAGUUGGUGAGGUAAUGGCUCACCAAGGCGACGAUCCGUAACUGGUCUGAGAGGAUGAUCAGUCACACCGGACUGAGACACGGUCCGGACUCCGUACGGGAGGCAGCAGGUGGGGAAUACGUAGGACAAGUGGGCGCAAGCCUGAUCCGAGCAAGUCGCCGCGUGUGUAGGAAGUAACGG